UACGGAGGAUGCAAGCGUUAUCCGGAUUUAUUGGGUUUAAAGGGUGCGUAGGCGGAAUUGUAAGUCAGUGGUGAAAUCCCGUAGCUUAACUACGGAACUGCCAUUGAUACUGCUAUUCUUGAAUGUAGUUGAGGUAGGCGGAAUGUGUGGUGUAGCGGUGAAAUGCAUAGAUAUCACACAGAACACCGAUUGCGAAGGCAGCUUACUAAACUAUUAUUGACGCUGAGGCACGAAAGCGUGGGGAGCGAACAGG
rnacentral:misc_RNA from 1 species